AGACCAGGGGAGCACGCUCCAUA
rnacentral:tRNA from 1 species